CCUACGGGUGGCAGCAGUGGGGGAUAUUGCACAAUGGGGGCAACCCUGAUGCAGCGACGCCGCGUGAGCGAUGGAGUACUUCGGUAUGUAAAGCUCUGUCAGCAGGGAAGAGAAUGACGGUACCUGACCAAGAAGCCCCGGCUAAAUACGUGCCAGCAGCCGCGGUAAUACGUAUGGGGCAAGCGUUAUCCGGAUUUACUGGGUGUAAAGGGAGCGUAGGCGGCAGGGCAAGCCUGAUGUGAAAUCCCGGGGCUUAACCCCGGAACUGCUUUGGAAACUGUGCGGCUGGAGUGCAGGAGGGGUAAGCGGAAUUCCUAGUGUAGCGGUGAAAUGCGUAGAUAUUAGGAGGAACACCGGUGGCGAAGGCGGCUUACUGGACUGUAACUGACGUUGAGGCUCGAAAGCGUGGGGAGCAAACAGGAUUAGAUACCCUUGUAGUC
rnacentral:rRNA from 1 species